ACUUCCUUGGAAGCCCAGAUUGGAUUCCAGUUGCCAUCCUUCUGCCUCAGCCUCCCGAGUGCUGGGGUUAGAGACUUGCAGUCCACUCUCAGCUUGUGAACCAGAUGAAGUUCAAAGUACAUUUGGUGCAUGGUCUCUAAGACUUCCUUCUUCAUGUUAUGGGGCCUCCUACAAAUCUCCUCAGAAGGCUGCGGAACAAAAGCAGAUCUUCAACCUUUUGCUCAGGAUUCUGGGAUUACACAGAACCCAGAGGGACCACACAGGCAGACAGGGUCUGGGUUGCUGGUGUCUGUGAAGGGCCUCGCAUCUUCCUUGUGCACUAAGGAUUCUGCCUUCACCGCUGAACUACAACAGACUCCAUGCAUGUAACUUCCGGCUGGACCCUGUGGCACCCUGCCAUCUGUCACGGCAUACUUGCUGUCCUUCGGAUGCCCACAUCUGUGCCACUAUAUUGAUGCAGAAACGUGUGUGUCUAACACUCUCCUCUCCUGGGCCUCAGGAUCCCACCUCACAACUCAGGGCUCCAGACCAUAGUGGGUCCACGGACCUCAGCUCGACUGACGCCACAGUGGAAGCACCACCAUCCAGGCCGUGAAACUCAGCAUGUAGACAGCACCGCCUGCCGAAAAUGAAAAGGAAGGCCUAAUCCAUCAAAGUUCAUAGUUCUGGGACAGUCUCUGAAUGUACUAACCUUGGCUUUGUUAACUGGGGUAUGUCAACUCAGGACAUUUUUUUUUUGUGCUUAAAACUCACCCUGAGAAAGAUUCAGGGUUACAGUGGGAUCCGGGGCACUCAGUAUAGUGACCAGCCAGCUAAUGAAGACUUUCUUUGUCUUAAACUCAUGCCUGAGAAGUCUUCUCUGGUGGCUAUCCCACAACAAGAGCAAGUCUUUAACUUUUAGUAAAAUACAGUAUUUGAACAGCAUUAAAAAGAAUGGUCAAAUCUGGUAGUAACCUUUAGGGAUAAACAUUGAAAGCACCACAAUCUCAAAGCACCACAAUUUCAUGUCCUGGUCCCACAGAAGUUGUUCCUCUUCCUAUUCCUCUUCUUCUUCCUCCUCCUCCUCCUCUUCCUCUUCCUCCUCCUCCU